GUGAGCCACCAUGUGGUUGCUGGGAUUUGAACUCGGGACCUUCGGAAGAGCAGUCGGCGCUCUUAACCACUGAGCCAUCUCGCCAGCCCCAUUAAGGGAUUUCUUAAGUCGGCUUUACAAGAGUAAGGACAGCAGAAUCACAUCCGGUCCUUGGGGUAUGAAUCCUGAGCGCUGAGGCUGCCAUGGGUUUACCAUCAAUAGACUGGAUUGCUGUAGCUCCAACUCACUGCCAGAUUCUCCGUCAAGUCCAAAGCCGUAGGAACAAUAGAGAACUUGCUCUCCUAAGAGACUAACCACGCUGGGUGUGCAGAAUCCUGUCUCUCUCCACAUCCCCAUCCAUCCAGAGGGCUCCAGCCAGCCUGUGUGCAGCAACCUGGUCUUCCACUUGGUAUGGUGGUAGCUUUGCAUCCAAUGACCUCCCUUGGGGUCCACGCUGCCUCUUGCUAGAGCCGGCGAGGAAGGAAAUGCUCUCUCCAGUCCUUUUAUCGACUGUCUUAGCUUUCUCCUUCAAGUUCUGUGUGUUAGUAAGCUUUAAGGUCCCUCCUGGUUGGUAUGAUGACAUCACGGUACCAGAGCUUUAGUUUAAGUGUGUCUUGGGCAUGGUGUCAUCAUUUUGGCAACACUCAGACCAUUGAAUGUCUCUGCCAUCUGUGCUACUUCCUGCUUUAUUGGAACAAGAAGAGCUACAACCGUCCAAACUACACUCAGCAAUGUGGUCUUGUCGUCAUGCGCUCAGCCGUUUAUUGAAUGCCUAUUAUAUGCUGGCCACCAUCUCGUUCAUUGGAGCAUGGGUUCUUCUGUCCCAUUGGAGCAUGGCUUGUGUUCCUGUGACCCUGAUAGCAGGAGAAGGGGUUGUUAAAUGUGAAGAACAGCUUGUUAACCGAGACUGGGAGGAAAUGGAAGCGUCUGCAGCUGCCAACAGUGUAAUUGAUGCAUCUUAAGUAAGAAGUUUAAACAUAUUUUAAUGGUUAUAUAUGAGCAUGACUGCUAUUUUCAAUUUAAUUAGAGGGAAGGCAAUAUGCAGCCUGUUAACAUAUUGCAGGAGAGUCCGUGGGGAUGGGACUAUUUGUUUAAAAGUGAACAUAAUUU